CUGACUUCCAUCACAUGAAACAAAUUAGAUUUUAUUUCAUUCACCUGGCACUAUUCAAACCGAUAGUUUGAAGCCUUUAUGUAUAUUCUUCAUGCAGUUCUAGACUUGGUGAAUCGUUGGCCUUGUAAAAUUAAUGUACUGUAUAUCUUGGAGCUUCUUCAUCCUGGAAUCUACAGCCACAAACCGACUAAGUAAUGAAGACUGGCACGCUUGGAUACAUGAAGGGAGGAUGCAGAAGCGAAGCUGACUGUCAGUGAACAGGAAAGCAAGACAAUCUUUCCCCUGUGAAAGCUGGAAAGUCACACUCUGCAGGGAACGAGGAGGCCACACUACUUGAUGAGAAGUGCUGCUUUUCAGAUUGGUCAGAUUGAGACUUUAACAAGCUGCUUAUUUGUUUUGUUUUUUUGUUGCAUAUUUAUUUUUGCCAUUUCAGUCAAAUAAUAACCAAAAGCAUUAGAACAGUCCAGAUGUGUCACAUAGAUGCUAGUAACUACAAGAUUCCAAUGAAUCUUUUCUUCCACCAGCUCAGCCCAGGCAAUGACAUGAGAAGAGACCAGAAGAGGUGUUAUUAAAGUAUGGUUAAAUAAUGCAUGAAAAAAUGCAGUAUCAAUGUCAGCUUCUGAAAUUGUGGCCCUUGAUGAAUCCACAUGGAGGAAGAACAUCUGAGAAGGAUACCUUUG
rnacentral:lncRNA from 1 species